UACGGGGGGAGCAAGCGUUGUUCGGAUUUACUGGGCGUAAAGGGCGCGUAGGCGGUCGUGACAAGUCACUUGUGAAAUCUCCGGGCUUAACUCGGAACGGUCAAGUGAUACUGUCGGACUAGAGUACAGAAGGGGCAACUGGAAUUCUCGGUGUAGCGGUGAAAUGCGUAGAUAUCGGGAGGAGCACCAGUGGCGAAGGCGGCGACCUGGGCAGAUACUGACGCUGAGGUGCGAAAGCGUGGGGAGCAAACAGG
rnacentral:rRNA from 1 species